UAUUCACUAACCAGUUAUUAGUGUAAGAACGAAGGGUGGACGUUGGAAAGGUGCAUGUGUAUAGGAUUGUUAAAACUAUAAUUGGUGGUGUGCGGAAGUGUGAGACUACGAAGGAACUUCAAUUUAAUGUAUCUCUUCUAUCGGCCAAGCAUGUGGAGAACUGAAUAGUAGUCAACCUACAAGUGGAGGACAUUCAUCACAUGGCCGGCAUAGGAUAGAAAAACGUUUUUGGAUUCAAUCGAUGAUUGCAGAGUCGGAGACUGUAAUGGGAUCGCAAAAAAUAGAACCAUACUCAAGCCGAAGUCGCACUAAAGAACAGUUAAGAGCCUUCAAUGGACAGGUAAAUUUAAAUUCGGACGAUAUACGUUUUACGAACUCUAGAGUUUUAUAUAUUUUAUCUUAUAUACUAUAUAUUUUCUUCCAUAAUAUCUGUUUAAUAUUGUACCUAUUUUCCCAUUCUCCCGGUUUUCCUGCCCUUUUCCAAUUUUCCCCAUAUUUUGGAAAAAUCAAAAAAGUGACUUUUUAAAGUACCACCUCAGUAAAAUUUCUUAUCAGAAUAAGUGCUUCACUUAAAAAUCGAAGCAAGAUUUCCGGUAGAAAAGUUUGUAGAACAAAUCAAGGAGUAUUUUUCGAUUAGCCCGGGCGAUAGCUGGUUCUCUAGGUACACCUAAAAUGAAUUUGUUUUUUCCUGUUUAGAUAAAAGAGAACAAAUAAAAGCAAAAAAUUAUUUUCGAAACCCGGGUUUGAACGUGCGAUCCCUAAGAUGACAAUAGGUUUUUUUCUCACUUUUUUCUUUUUAUUGGGAAAACUUCCAGAGAAAUCAAAAAAUAAUCUCCUUAAAGUACCACCCAAUGAAAAUGUCCUUUAAGAAAAGGGUCUACAUUGCAUACAUCGAAGCAAGAUUUUCGAUAGAAUUUUUGUAAACAGUAUACAAAAAAAAAAUAAAAACAAAUAAUUGUCAUCUUUGUAAAACCAAUACAUUCAUUACUACACUUAGAAUCUAAAACAAUCAUUGUUUUCUUCACAAAACUGUUAAUCGUAUAGCAAGAACUUUAUUUAUUUGUACAUACCAAUCAGGUGCUUAUAUAUACGUGAAAAUACGAAUCUAUUCUCGAAAUACGGUAAGAAUGGUGGCGAUCAGUCGAUCGGAUCUGUAAUGUCUUUGAACAAUUUUUACGAGACAUUUCCACGUUUCCAACGAGUUUGUCAUUUACACAAAUAUUGAUUUAUUUUUUAUUUCUGAAACCGAUUUGGAAGGUCUUUUUGUCAUUAUUGUGUUUUUUUUGCGUGAACGAGCGUUUUUUUUUUCUUGGGGGGAGGGGGUAUAAUGUUGCCCGUUAUUACUUGAAAGGCAAGAGGUGAAAAACGCAACUGUGCCGGCCUCUGAUGAUAAUAACAUAAGGAACGGCGCAAAAACAUAAUAAACGGAGAACGAAAUAACAUUAUUAUGGGGUCGUUUUGUAGAAAAAAAAAAAACGCAUAAAAUUCGAAUUUGUUUCAAGCGAUAGUACCCAUAUUAUAUGCCUCUCGGGGGACUGAUGCCGCCACGAAACCAUGGGUUUUCGACUUACGCCGGGCGAAAUGUACCCGCUGAACAAAAUCUCGCUAUACACUACUCGUAUACAUGCAUUUAUGUUCUUUUACCGAAAUGGUUAUUUUUACGUUUCUGCCUCUUUCUGUGUAUGUAUAUAUAUAAACGACUACAUACACCACAUGUGAUUUUGCGAGAAACUGUUUUUUUUUUCCGGGGAUAAAAACUUAACCAAAAAAUAAAUUAAGAAUAUAGUAUUAGAUAUAGGUGCCAGUUAUAUAGGAUACAGGGUGUAUCUGCAGUAUUCCCUACGAUAUUUAAUUCCGUAGUACAAGACGGUGUAGAAAAAUGGUGCACGGAGCAUAUGGAAAAUGGUAAUCGACGGAAGGAUGAAUGGACCGAAAGGAUACCCAUAAAUCAGCCUGAUAUUUUUACAAUCGCGGAGUUUCCAUUUUCCGACGAAAGAACGAAAUUCCCAAAACCGUUUCAUGUCUGAACGGAAUCUUACUCGGGACGCACGGCACGGGUGUGAAAAAUAUGAGUCGCAUAAGUGAAGACGACUUCGUUUAUUCAUACGACGAUAAGAACUUCCUGGACUUUAUGUGUUAGACAUGGGCGCUACUGAGUGGUUAAAUGACUUAGCAAUUGACAUUUUACAGUGCCAAAAACGGACCGCAGAGGAACGCUCUUCCCCGUAAUAUAAUACUAUUUUAACUUAUUAUUUAUUUGCGUAAUGGUCUAUCUGUAUACUCAUUUAUUUACCAAUAAUUGCAUUUGAAUUGUUUUAACAGUGUUACAUAGAUUUUAGAGAUAUCUUGACUAUCGUUUGGCCGUGUGAAAAAUAUAUUGUCAAAUCCUACAGAUGCAUCCUGUAAACUAUAACUAUAACUAAACUAUACCUGUAUACAAGUUUAUAUUGAUGAUGUACCUAACACAUUACAUUGUGGGUACCUAUUCUCGAUGAUAUCCGAAAGCUGCAGCGGAGUGGAGAGGACAGUUUUACACCAUUAAUUUAAUACUAACUUGACAGUAAAGGAACACGACGUCAUAGAAAUUUAUCAAUAAAAUUUACAAGCCGUCACACCGUGAUGUUUAUUAUUAUCACACUUAUCGGGGUUCGAUAUGAGACUCAAGCGCAUAAAAUCGUGAAAAAAAACACCACUUAAACACUCGAUUAUAUAAGCGCUUUAAAACCGUUAAACUAAGUGAAGAAUAAAUAAAAAAAAAAUCUCAAAAAUGGUAACCCCUUGUCUGUAUAAUUAUCCAAAAAAAAUAAUAGUGACAAGUGUAGUGAAAAAUAAUACAAAAGCUAGUUUGUUUUUUAUUUAUUAAUUUUGUUUAUCUUGUCCUGCCCAAGUCGAGAAAAAAGUCAUUUGAUGAUAAGAACGAAUCGGAAUAUUCGUUUUUAACUAUAAUAUGACUGUAAUAAUUUAACUAUAAUAUAACACACAUCUUAUUUCAUGAAAAAUAUAAAUUUGUAAUUUUUCAAGUAGUACUCAAUGAAAUGCAAUUAUUUUUAAACUAGCAUAAAACAUAUUAUGGUAACAUGCAAUUAUUAUUAUUUCUGACAAAAUGUCGACAGCUUUUAUUGGGUAGGUAUUUAUAAUAAUAUUCUUUCGAAAAUUGCAUAAAAAAAAAAACUUUUAAUUAUUUAUUUAUGUUUCGUUAUUAAAUUUAAAUUAUUUCUCUAUAUAAAUAUAAUAAUAUAAUAAACCUCAGUUAUUAGCUACCUACCUAUUUAAUGUAUCUACUGUAUAAUAUCAUAAACGGAAACUUUGUUCACAAUACAAAACUAAUUAUAAAGCUUUGAAAAAGAAAAACUUUAAAAUAAGUAUAAAAAAAAGUGAGAUACAAAGAAACCGGGUAUUGAAAACUCGUUUCGAUUCUCGUUUACCUCAACUGCAACACUGUACAAUAUAGUACAAAGUAUAGAAUUUUGUUCAUUGUAAAUUCGAAAGAUUAUAAAGUUUUAUGUUUAAUUUCACCGUUCGUGUAUUUUUUUUUUCAGUAUACAUUUCGAGGUAAAUCAAAUUGAAAGACUGUGUACAAUAACCAUCGUACAACUGCAGUUUUUAAAAUUGUGC